ACACAUUCUCAGGUUCCCUCUUAAUUUUUAGAGUAGCAUUAUCUAUACUGCUGCCAAGCAGUGAUCCACCAGUUCCAACAGAUGCCCUAGCACCAAAAUCAGGUGUUGCAAAGCCUUGAGAUGAAAUCUGAGCUUCAGCAUUAGAGACAGGGGACACUAAAUUUGCUCUCCUCGUACGUGAGUUUUUAUGUGGUCUCUGACCACCCCACUGGGCCAUAGCAUGCGACGAGGAACCUGUAGACAUUGGACGUUUUUGAUUGCUCCCAACACCUAACGCUUGUAUCUUAUUUAGAUUUGGCUGUUCCCAACCCUGCAAAGCUCCAGAUGAGAGGUGAACUUUUGAAGAUGAGUCUAACACCAUGAUGGAACCACUUCGUGGUGCCCUAGAAACCUUUCCUUUUAGCAUUGUAGUCGGCCCACUUGAUUGGUUGUCAUCCUGGAGACUUGCCCUGACAAACAGAGCCAUUACAGAAAUCAAUAACCAGUGAGAAGAAAACAUUAAAAGAAUAUCAUACACGGCAAUUAAAUGCAAAAUUUGAUAGCCAUUCACUAUGUAAGUUUUCUGCCCACAUAUUUUCACUACAGACUGCUAGAAAUAAAAUGAAGGCACAUACUUAUUAUUUGUUUUCGUUAAAACCCUCUGCUCCAGCAUAGCUGCACGAUCCCGAGGAAUAGAGGUACUCUCCAAUUCGUUCCUAAGCACUGUACUGGCAUCUGAACCAGCAGCUUCAAAAGAACAAUCAGACCUGUUGAUUCCACUAACUCCAGGGGAAGAUUUUGAUCUGAUGCACGAAAGAACCCAUUAACAUAAGAGUAAGAGAACAUUAAUACAGAACAGAUUUGACAAACAGCUGAAAAUUUGUGGAUCAGCAUAACUCAUAAACUUACAGCCUAAACUUGAAGAAAAUAAUCAAUCCAGUGACAAGACCUUAAGAUAGAGGCCGAAAAAAUCUUUCUUCAUUUUCAUCAGAAAAUGAUAAUAUCUUAUCAAGCAUUCAAGAAAGUUAUACCAGCAAAGAAGCAGUUAUAAUCUAUAUUUAUAUUACAAUUAAAAGCAGGUAAAAUAGAAACAACAAAGCAGGAUUAAAAAUACAAAACAAUGCAAGCAGUAAGGUCUGUCAAUCCAAAAUACAAUGCAAGUUCUUAAGCCUGGACAUUUGCAUGCUUGACUCCGAUUUUAUUAGUAGUCAAAUUUAAGAACCCGCAUAAAUUUUCUACAUACAGAACAAAAUUUACAAACUUCCAUACCUUAUGAAUAAUGACUGCAAUCAUCAAAUCUAUCAGCAAUAAAUAGUAGAACAGAAUGUUUCUUCCUCAAUUACUACUAAACUGCCAGUUUGAUUGAUAACAAUGAUGAAAUGCCCACAGAAAAUCAAAAAAGGGCUUUUGUUUACCAUGGCAAGCCUCAUCAGCAAUAUAUCCAGGAUCACAUAAAACUCCUAGGCCAAGCCUAAGCCAAAUUUUUCAUACGCAGUUCAAGUCAAAACCUACCAUACUCAAUGCAGCCAUACUAGAUAGUAUUCUUUUCCUUUUAAUCAGAACCAGGAAGCAAGUUCAAUCCUUAGACAAUCACCUGAAACCCUGUGUAUCACAUGAUCGCAACUUUGAUUCAGAACUCAGCUUCUGUUGCAUAGCUCGUUUUACAUCCCGGUCACCAGCAGUAACUCUAUUUCCUACAGCUGCAACAGACCGUUUCCUUUUCAUCUUUGUUUCCCAUCCUUCACCGGACAAUCUGCGGAUCUUUUCUUCAAUUCGAGCAGAUCCCCCAUUAACAGCUGAAAGCACAUCACCAUCCUUUUCUAUUAUUCCCUGCUGCCUUGGAUUCAAAGCAGUCCUAUUAUCAGCCUGGUCUCAUAAGAAAGAAAAAAGAAAAAGAGGAAACAAGAAAAUAGAAUUAAUGAAGCAUAAUAUAAAAAAGAGAAAAAGGAAGGUGUGUAAUUAAACUAGUUGCUUUCAAGUAACUGGCCUAUCUUUUAUUCUUCUUUAUUUUUUUUUUGCCAUAAAAUGGAACAUUCAAUUAUGCCUAACAAAAAACUUUGUUCACUGCUGAGCAAAGAUCAAAUGAUUUGUCUUUAAACAUUGCCUGGAAUUUCACAAAAAAAGUCUUCACGAAUGCACGUGAAUACUAAUUAGGUUGAAACAUUAAAACAUUCCAGCAAUAAUAGUGAAAUACAAACCCGUAAAUCGGCAACUGACGUGCGAACACGUUUGUUUAGCCCCACCCCUUUUGGCCUAUCCUCCAACCUUUGGGUCAUUAUGUCAUGAGGGUUUCUAUGAAUCUGGCUCCCGAUCUUUGCAAUGUUUACUCCACUUGUUCUCUCACUUGAGAUAUCACUUCGUUGUUGCUUCUUUGAGUUUAAGGUUUCUCUAUACCUUUCCAGUUUAGAAAUUGACUCACGCAACUUUUUUACUCUAUCCCUGUUAGAAACACAAUGCAGAUUCAAUAACCAAACACUGUCCAUCCGACUUAUGACUAACAGGCAUCAAAAUCAAGAUCAAAUAUGCACAAUGCACAUGUGCAGACAGGAAAAAAAAAAGAAAAGAAAAGAACACCCGUGAGAAAAAGCCUCUGAAUUGCAGGCAAGCUAUAUAACAUCUAAAUAUGACAAUCAGCAUCAAAAUCAAGAUAAAAUGUGCACAAUGUACAUGUGCAGACAGAAAAAAAAAAAAGAAAAGAACAACUGUGAGAAAAAGCCUCUGAAUUGCAGGCAAANAACAACCGUGCGAAAAAGCCUCUGAAUUGCAGGCAAGCUAUAUAACAUCUAAAUAUGACAAUCGGCAUCAAAAUCAAGAUAAAAUAUGCACAAUGUACAUGUGCAGACAGAAAAAAAAAAAAAAGAACAACUGUGAGAAAAAGCCUCUGAAUUGCAGGCAAACUAUAUAACCUCUAUCUAUGACAAUCGCCUACAUUACUCAAGUGGCAAGCCCAUGUGUGAAGACAGGAUAUCUACAUGCAUGCAGAGAGAAUAUAUUGCAUACGCACCAUGAUACAUGAGCAAUGCUUGCAUUGUAACUAAUCAUGUACCAUGUUGACUGUUUUUUGCCCAUUAUGUUUCCAGUGAAAGUACCUAUCAUCACCGGCUUAACUUUAAAGGUUCCCUUGUCACCAAACAAUUACAAUGAAAAGUCACUAAACUAACUCAUAAACUAUACCAUAAUCCAUUAAAUAUAAACCUUUCCACAAAUUUAGCAUUAUCUGCAGGGAAUGGUUGCAAUAAAGAAGACAGACAUACCUGGCCUUCCUAGAGGCAUCUUGAACACUUUCUUUGAAGUUCUUAAGCUCCUCCGUUGCCACUGGAGGUGAAGGUUUAGGAUGUGCAACUCCAAAAGUGUGAUCCUCCGAUGUACUACUUCGAAAAGGAACACCCAGAACCCGGCUUAAUUCUCCAGAUCGUGUAUAUUUCUGAUUGCCUAAUGUAAUCGGCUCCAAAGGCAAACACUGAAGCAAUGGUGGCAUAUCCGACGACGAUCCUGCAUUCCCUUGGCUUAAAUUAUGCCCACUUAACAUUUUUUUCUCUCUCCGUCAAUCUCCUCACUUAGAACUUCCAAAUCUGUACACAUAAACCCAAGACCAUUAACCCCAAAAGUCAAGUAACUCACUUCUCUUCCUCCUAAUAAACUGACACCUUACAUAUUGUUCAGUUCUUGCCUUUUGAAUUAGGAUUUGAAAGCUUAAAAAUUAAAAGCAUAAUUUGUUGGAAAACAAAUUGCACAGUUUUACUUUCAUCAAGAACUACUACGUUAAAGGAGUGUACCAUUUUAGACCUUUAUUUUUAAACCAAUUAUAAUUUUGCAUUUUACCAUUUGCUUUUGCUUUUAGCAACUAUUUUAAAAAACAAAAGUAAAAACCACAGAGAGUGUUAGCAAAUUGUAUCAACUAUUCUUCGGACAUAUCUCUGAACUUAACUAGACAUAAUUACAAACCUGCAUUUUCUCUCAUGCAAUGUUAAACCUUAACUAUUUUCUUCUUCUUCUUCUUCUUUUCCUUUUUGCUAGUGUUUCGAAGACUAAAGCAAUAAACUUUGUUGAUUUUAAGUCACAAAUCAAAAUCCCCAAUUAAAUUCAAUUAAAUCCACGGAAACGAAAACAAUGAUCAUCAAAAACCCACUAAAAAAUCCCCCAAAGGAUUCAUGAAAAAUAAUAUCCAUUUAAAUUCAUAAAUAGGAAACCAAAAAAAAUGCAGCUGACAGCUCAAUAAUUACCUUUGAACCACCAAUUAAAAAUAAGAGAGAAAUUCAAAAUGAAAAUUGACAAACGUUUAUCUUCCUUCAUUACCUCCUCAACCAGGCAAAGAAAGAUUUUUAAAAAGAAAAUUUUGAAAAUUUAAGAAGAUAGAUAAAUAGUAAAAACCCUAACACGAGAACGAGAGAAAUCAGAGAAAGAAAGGUUGAAAUUCAAGUGAAAUUAAGGAAAAGGAAAAUCAGCUUAGAGAGUUUAAAGAUUCAAUUACCUGAGAAUCAACCAAGUAAAGAGCAGAUCAAAAUCAGCAAAUUUCUUUUUUGGAGAGAUCAAAAAAAGAAAAGAAAAGCGGGAGCGAUUAUAAUGUAAUGCGUAUAUAAAAUAAAAUAAAACAAAACAAAAUUCCUUUAGCCGUAGACUUAAUACGUCGUCACUUUUAUUUUCUUUUUUCAAUUUUUUAAUGUUGCCUUACCGCGUGCACGUGUUGACGUUAUGCUUAUGCAGGUAUAUUUAGAGUAAUUACAUUUUUUUUUUCAAUUGACACCUUUCUAUUUUUUUCUCUUAAAAACUGCUAUUUAAGUUUAAUUACUUCUGUAAAUUAAUUUUUAUUUAAUUAAAUACUCAAAUAAAUUCCUUAACUAUAUUCAAAAAUUUAAUUNUAGCUCUUUUAUUUUCUUUUUCAAUUUUUCUUAAUGUUGCCUUACCGCGUGCACGUGUUGACGUUAUGCUUAUGCAGGUAUAUUUAGAGUAAUUACAUUUUUUUUUUCAAUUGACACCUUUCUAUUUUUUUCUCUUAAAAACUGCUAUUUAAGUUUAAUUACUUCUGUAAAUUAAUUUUUAUUUAAUUAAAUACUCAAAUAAAUUCUUUAACUAUAUUCAAAAAUUUAUUAAACCCAUAUUUUUUUAUUAUAUUCAAAUAAAUCUCCAAAAGAGCCGAAUAAACUCUUUUUAUAAAUUAUGGAUUAACUUUCGUUACUCAGUAAUAAAUUUGAUAAUUUUAUUAUAUGUCAUCUGCGCUUAGCAUGUUAACAUGUCAUUUUAUUUUAUUUAUGCAAACUUAUAUUAAUUUUCAUAUUAAAAAAAAACAACAAUCCUUCUCAAAGUGAAAUUAUUCUUUUUACUUCUUACAAAUUUGUUACACCUUUCUUCAUACUACCUCAAUAAAUAAUUUGUCAAAACUCUUCUUCCAAAACUCGUAAUUAUCUCCUAUCUCAAUAAAUAAUGGGUAGGGAUUUAGAGCAAGAAGAUCAACCUUUAAAAAAAGCUCUUCUCUUUUUUAUAAAUCCGUCCUCUUAUCAUAAUGUUGCUUCACAAUUGAAAACUUAUUCAUGCAAUGGUGAGAAUAAGAAUUUGAAACCUCGUAUUGAUGAUCAGCGUAUCCCAUAUAUUGAAAAGAAACAUUCUUUUGAAAUCAAAAUUGAAUAUCUCAGCAUUGAACAAAACACUAUUUGUAAUCUCCAACACAAGGUUAUAAAGAUAAAAUUUAACCUCCUUUUUUAAAUUCAUUAUGAUGAGAAAUAAAUACAAAUUAAAGAUGAGUCUCUCAAGCCUGAAGCAGAUAUUCAUCUUGAAGGUGUUAUGAUCAUGAGAAAGAUUUGCUACAAAAGGUCUUCUCAAUCAUCUCCCUAACCCAUGACGUUUUGGUUUUUUGUCAAAACUCAAUUGCUUUUUCUGUUAAAAACCUUUUCCAUGCUAAGGACAAUCGUGACCAGGACUUAGUUUGAAGCAAUUAAAUUUUUUUAAAUCCCUAAUCUAAUUAUUUUUGAACAUGAUAUUAAGUAAAAAGGGAAAAUCCAAUUCCUAGUUAGUAAGUUUUAAUUCAUGUCAUCUGGCACGUGGCAAAAAUUUUCCAAUUGUAUAGUUGACUAACCAAAGUUAAUCUAUAGUUAGUGAAACGAGUUUAUUUAACUUAAAAUAAAAAUUUUAAGAUUUAUUUAAAUACAAUAAAAAGAUAAUGACUUAAUUUAUUUUUUUUAUAUAGUUCAAGGGUUAAUUUAGGUAUUUAGUUUUUCUAAUUUAACAAAGACCUUUUAAUUUCAAAUUAAUUGAAUUAUUCUUAUAUUUUCAUAUGAAUUUUUAAAAAAAUUAUUAUUGUAAUUUCGAGACAUAAAACUUUAAAAAAAUUCUACAUUAUUAAGAAAAUUCAAAUAAACUAGUAUUUUUCAAUUUUGUUUGAUCAAACUUUUAUGCUUUUCUUUCGAUUGAUUAAUUUUUAUUAGUUAAAAUAUCAUCAUGUCAUAUUUAUGUGCAUGUAGUAUUAAUCUGAAAAGUAAAAAAUGUCAUCAACGUCACGUCAUUAUUUAUUAUCAGAAGCAGAUCUCGCAGCUUGAAUUGGUUUGGUUGUAGUAAGAUUCUCCAACUUCUCCCUCAUUGGAUGAACAAUUGGUUUUGUCAAGAGUGGUGCAUUGCUUCCACUCCUUCCUUGUCUUCGAACUCCAUCUCCAAUUUCAUUAGUAGACAUUUGGGUUGCGUUUGAUAUAAGAGAUGUAAAGUCACAUUCCCUACAAAUGUGUCCAUUUAAAUUACUUUACAGUGCUUGUUUUGUAACAGACCACUACAAUAUAAGAUUGCAAUGCAAUCACAUUGCAGCCAAUGGAUGUAAUGUGAUUGUAGUCCAAAACCAAUGCAAUCACAUUGCAUUGCACUCUGCAAUGUCUUUAAGGAUAUUUUUACCCUUCAUGUUUUAAAAAAAUUACUCAAAAACCCGAAGCAAAAUCGUCGUUUUUGGGGUUUCUGCUGCUUCUUCUCCAUUUUGCUAAAGUCAUUCAUCCUUUUUCUAGCUCUGCUUCUUCAUCAUUUGAAAUUGUGGGUUAAAAUCUCCCAUUCUUCUUUUUCUUUCUCCUUUUUUUAUCUUAUUCUUGUAUUCUUUAAUCUGACUUUUUUGUGUUAAUUUGGGUUUUCUUCUUAUUUGUAUUUUAGGGUUUAUCGCUGAAACAAUUUGGCCCUUAAUCGGCAAGAGAAGUUGGAUUUUUGGGCUAAUUUCAACAAAAGGCACAGGUAAUUGUGAUGAAAUAAAAUAUUGCGUGUUUGGUUGUAAUUUUUGGUGUUGCAAUUUUUUGUUUUUAUUCCCUCAACAAAAUAAGGGUAAUCAAAUAGUUUUCAAGUUCUAUCCAAUUAGAACUUCUAUCCAAUUAGAAAUGCUGAAAGCAGCAGAACUCGUACCUAGCAUUACCAAAUCCAUGGAUCUUGGCUUUGAGCAGAACUCGUACCUAACAUUAACGUGUAACAAAAUACUUUUAAAUAUGUCAUGUAACAACAAUAUUUUUUCAACAUGACGUGUAACAACAAUAUUUUUUUUUCAACAUUGCGUGUAAUAACCUUUUUGAACUAUGGUGUGUAACAUGUUUUUAUACAUGGCGUAUAACAACGGUAUUUUUUUUCAACAUGACGUGUAACAAUCUAAUCAUGACUUGUCACAUGUUUUUGUACAUGACGUGUCACAUGUUUCUGUAUAUGGCGUGUCACAUGUUUCUUUACAUGACGAGUCACAUGUUUUUGUACAUGGCGUGUCACAUGUUCCUUUACAUGACGUGUCACAUAUUCUAUACGUAGUGUGUCACGUGUUUCUGUACAUAGUGAAAACAUCUUAUCUUUAAAAAUGCCUCAUUGGUUUGUAUAGGAAUCUCUUCCCUUACUCAAUUGCAAAAUGUUGUAACUUUGCGCUCAAUUGUCCAAUCAGGGUGAUUUUUUUUUUUAAAUCCAUGUAACUUUUCGAGAUUUACGUGUUGACAAACAGUCGAAGGCGGUUUGUUGCCGUUUUGACCCCAAAAAACCUCAUUGUAACCUUAAAUUUGAAUUUUUACUCUUUUUUUGCUUUUUUUUUUUAAGAUUUGACCUCCCAUUUUUUUAAAUUUUGUUUAGGGUAAAAUUGGUCUUGACAGUAGAAAACUAUUGCAAUUUUUUUUAGAUUUUAGGGUGCAAAAAAAGAGUGUAAAAAGUUAACUUAAAAAUAAUGAAAAUGUAUUUAUAUAAUGUUUUUAUAUAAAUUGAAUAAAUUGAAUAUUUGUAAGGUAGACAUGAAAAGUUAACUUUGUGCUUACUAAAUGCUGUUUUUAUAUAAUGUUUAUAUUUCAUUAUUUUAAUUAUUUUUUUAUAUUGUUAGUUCAUACAAUGGAAGGGUUUUCUCAAGAGCAAACUGCAACGAUCAUGUCUGCUAUUGUAUUAGCCAUUGAGCUAUUCAACAUGAUACUUUUAGCUAAUACUUUGGUUCAAGGAUGUUAUCAUAUUUUAAUGUAUAUUAGAAAGCGUAAAAGAUCCAAAACUAAUACUUAUAAGAGACAUAUUAUUAGGCAAUUGAAUUUUAGGAGAAUAGUGUUUGAUUCUGAUUUAACAUGCAUUGAAAAUAUUAGAAUGGAUAGACCUGCAUUUUAUAAACUAUAUAAUAUACUUCAAUGCAUUGGUAGGCUUACACCAACAAAAAACAUGAAUGUUGAGGAAAUGGAGGCUAUCUUUUUGUACAUCAUAUCUCAUUAUGCAAAGAAUAGGAUCAUAAAGAGAGAAUUUGUUAAAAGUGGUGAGACAGUGAGUAGGCAUUUUGGUUUAGUUUUGAAUUCUGUUUUAAGAUUGCAAUCAAUACUGCUAAAGAAGCCAGAGCCUGUACCCAAGAAUUCAACUUACUUCAGAUGGAAAUGGUUUAAGGUAAACUAAAAUUUCUUAAACAUUUAUAACUUGAGUAUAAGAAUCUAUUAAAAAUGCAACUAAAGGAUAAUUUUUGUCAUUAUUCUAUUGGAAACAAUAGAAUUGUUUAAAUGCUUUAGAGGGAACUUACAUUAAAGUCAAUGCCCUGGAAAUUGAUAAGCCUACAUAUAGAAUAAGGAAAAAUGAAACUGCUACAAAUGUGUUAGGGGUAUGUUCACAGGAUAUGCAAUUCAUAUAUAUCUUUCUUGGAUGGGAGGGUUCUGCUUCAGACUCUAGGGUUCUUCGAGAUGCAAUAUUUAGAAGAAAUGGAUUGAAAGUCCCAAAAGGUAUGAGGAAAAUAUACACUCAAUUAUUAACUAUUUUAGAGUGAUGGACUAAAAAUAAAUUUUUUAUCAUAGGUUUUUUCUACUUAUGUGAUGCUGGGUAUACAAAUGGAAAGGGGUUUUUAACUCCAUAUAGAUGUCAGCGUUAUCAUUUGAAUGAAUGGAGACAAAAUCGUACUCCUCGUUCAAAAGAAGAACUGUUUAAUUACAAACACUUUUGUGCUAGCAAUGUUAUUGAGAGAUGUUUUGGAUUCCUUAAGAUGAGAUGGACAAUACUUAGAGAGAAGUCUUGGUACCUAGUGAAAACAAAAUGUAGAAUUAUCUCUGCUUGUGCAUUGUUACACAAUUACAUUAGGAGAGAAAUGACACAUGAUCCACCUGAGGAUGAAAUGGAUGAAAAGUAUGUGGAAUCAGAAGCGAUGAAAAAUGCAGAUACGAUCCAAUACAUUGAGACAUCAAAUGCAUGGACUACUUGGAGAAAUAACUUGGCACAAGAAAUGUGGAAUGAUUUGAUAGCUUCUAGAAAUGAAACUUAAUUUUUUUAUUUGGUUCAACAAAUGUUGUAUGCUUUAUUUAUAAUAACUCAAAUUUGUGUUGAUUGAGACAUAUUUGUAUUUGUUCUUAAUUAGAUAAGUUAUGUUUCUUCUUUAAUUUUUAAAUAACUAUUGUAUACUAUAUAUUUGUUAUUAUAUCGUUUCUAUAUUAUGUUUUAUACUUGUUGAUGGAAGUUGCAUCAUCUCAAGGAUUAGGGAAGAUAAGCAAAAGAUCCACCCAUCAGUGGACACCUACUGAAGAUGGAGUCUUAAUUGACUGCUGCAUUGAUCUUGUGAAUGAAGGAAGUUGGGGUAGAGAUAAUGGAACAUUCAAGCCUGGUCACUUGCAACAACUUGAGUAAUGAAUGAAAGAAAGGAUCCCAAAUUGCAACAUAAGGGCUAUCCCCCAUAUUAACUCUUGAAUGAGGUUGUUGAAGACACAAUAUAAGGAAAUUGCUGAGAUGAUAUCGCAUUCCGCUUCUGGAUUCGGUUGCGAUGAUGUCAAGAAAUGUGUUACUUGUGAUGAUGAUGUUUGGAUUGGUUGGGUUAAGGUAAUGAUUCUAAUUUAUUUUACAACAUUGUUAUAUUCUAAAAUUAGGCAUAUAUUUGGUUUUACAUGGUUUUUUGAUGCCUUGUAUUUGGUUAUAUAUAUAGAGUCACCCAACUGUUGCAGGACUUAGAAACAAGCCUUUCCCUCACUUUGAUCAAUUAGCCAUUAUAUUUGGGAAGGAUAGAGCAACUGGGGAAGAAGCAGAGUUACCAACUGAUGCAAUGGAGAACAUAGAAAUUGAGGAAGUUGCAUUUGCAACAACAAAGGUAGCUUCAGAAGCUUUCAGUGCAUUGAAUGUUAAUGAAGAUGACAAUGCUGAUGAUGAUGUUUCUCCUGCUCAAGCUACCAAUAGUGAGGGAUCCAUUGCUGCUAGAAGAAGGACUAUAGAGCAAGGCGACAGAGAGAUGAGUCGCAAAAAAACUAAGACAAAAAGUAAUGGUGACAACAUUGUUCAUGCAUUCCAAUCUAGUGUGGAUAAAAUUGGAGAAAUCUGUCAAGGUGCAAGGGAAGGAAUUGAUAAAUUAGCAAGUUGUUUUCAAUUCAUGGCUGAAGAUGCGAGGUUGAAAAAGCAUGUAGCUGAGAUAGUUCAGGGAGUUGAAGGUUUGACUCUCGAAGAAAUUGUUAAGGCUGGACAUAUCAUCUUUAGUGAUAUGUGGAAGAUAAAUUAUCUAUUUUCAUUGUCAAAGGAGUUGCAGAAAAUUUAUGUGAAGGCUUUGCUUAGUGGCUUUAUCUAAAUGAUAGGCAUUGUUAUUGCAAAGAACUAGUUAUCAAUUUAGGGUAAAUUUUAACAGUGUUAUUAACUUUGAACUCUUUUGUAUUUUAACAAUGAUGUGUCUAUCUUUUAGGUGACUUCAACUUUGGUUUAUUAGAACUUUAUGACUUUUGGUUUAGAGCAUCAAUCAAGGAACUUCAUUUAUGAUUUUCAAUUAUAUGAUUUUGGUGAUGUUAUGCUUGUUAUUUUGUUUUAGCUUGAUAACAAGUUAUUUUAAAUUUGUAAUAUUUUAAAAAAAAAUUAAUUAGAGAUUGCAAAUUAUGAAUAUUUUAUUACCAAUUUGCUACUGGUUACAAGAAAGAAAGUUAUCACGUUAAUGUAUAUAUAUAAAACGUAUUAAGAAAUAAAAAUAAAAUAUUAUCUUUUAAAAAAAAUUUAAAAUAAAAUAUACAAUAUAAAAAAUUAUAUUAAAAAUAAAAAUAAAAUAUAUACUUAUAAUAAAAAAUAAAAAAUAUAUUUAAUUAAAAAUAUAUUUAAAAAUAACAUUAUACAAAAAUUAACAAUAAAAAAAUACAUGUUAAACUUGUAUUUUAAUAUAUAAGAAUAGUUUUAAAAAUUAAUAUAAAACAAACACUGCAAUGUUAUCUUCUCUACAUUUUAAUUAUUACAUUAUUUAUAUAUCAAACACUGCAAUGUUAUCUUUCCUGCAAUCACAUUACUUACAAUCAAAUCACAUUACAUUGUAAAGUACCGAACGCUAUUUUGUUUCUUCCUUAUGGGUAAUAAGAAAGCCCCGACCUUUUACGAUGCAGGCAGAGUAACCUCACUACAAUCAAUUCCUUUCUCUUUUGAUUUGCUAUCUCCAGCUCCUGAUUCUUCACUCUCUGAUAACCCAAAUGGAGAAGACACAUUCUCAGGUUCCCUCUUAAUUUUUAGAGUAGCAUUAUCUAUACUGCUGCCAAGCAGUGAUCCACCAGUUCCAACAGAUGCCCUAGCACCAAAAUCAGGUGUUGCAAAGCCUUGAGAUGAAAUCUGAGCUUCAGCAUUAGAGACAGGGGGCACUAAAUUUGCUCUCCUCGUACGUGAGUUUUUAUGUGGUCUCUGACCACCCCACUGGGUGAUAGCAUGCGAAGAGGAACCUGUAGACAUUGGCCGUU
rnacentral:lncRNA from 1 species